UACGGAGGGAGCUAGCGUUGUUCGGAAUUACUGGGCGUAAAGCGCACGUAGGCGGCUUUUUAAGUCAGGGGUGAAAUCCCAGAGCUCAACUCUGGAACUGCCUUUGAUACUGGAUGUCUUGAGUGUGAGAGAGGUAUGUGGAACUCCGAGUGUAGAGGUGAAAUUCGUAGAUAUGCGGAGGAACACCAAUGGCGAAGGCGACCACCUGGACUGAUACUGACACUGAGGUGCGAAAGCGUGGGGAGCAAACAGG
rnacentral:rRNA from 1 species